CCAACGUUUGACCGUCCGUCUUAUUUAAAAAAAAAUAUGAAAAAAAUUAAAAAAAUAAGUCACGCAUAAAGUAUUAAUCAUGUUUUAUCAUCUAACAACAAUGAAAAUACUAAUUAUAACAAAAUUUCAUAUAAGACGAACAGUCAAAUGUUGGCAUGGAAAUCUAGG
rnacentral:pre_miRNA from 1 species